UACGUAGGGGGCAAGCGUUGUCCGGAAUCAUUGGGCGUAAAGAGCGUGUAGGCGGCUCGGUAAGUCCGCUGUGAAAGUCCAGGGCUCAACCCUGGAAUGCCGGUGGAAACUGUCGAGCUAGAGUCCGGAAGAGGCGAGUGGAAUUCCUGGUGUAGCGGUGAAAUGCGCAGAUAUCAGGAGGAACACCAAUGGCGAAGGCAGCUCGCUGGGCUGAGAUUGACGCUCAGGCACGAAAGCGUGGGGAGCAAACAGG
rnacentral:rRNA from 1 species